CCAAGGGCGCAUGGUGGAUGCCUUGGCAACAGGAGCCGAAGAAGGACGUGGGAAUCUGCGAUAAGCCUGGUGGAGUCGAUAACCGGACGUUGAGACCAGGAUUUCCGAAUGGGGAAACCCCGCACGACGUGUCGUGUGACCCCCGGUUGAACACAUAGACCGGGUGGAGGGAACGUGGGGAAGUGAAACAUCUCAGUACCCACAGGAAGAGAAAACAAAAGUGAUUCCGUUAGUAGUGGCGAGCGAACGCGGAUGGGGCUAAACCGUAUGUGUGUGAUACCCGGCAGGGGUUGCAUGUGCGGUGUUGUGGGCCCCUCCUUGUCAUGUCUGCCGGCAUGGCGCAGUGAGGUGCGGGCAUAUAGACGAACCAGUGUGGAUGCUGGACCGUAGAGGGUGAGAGUCCCGUAGUCGAAAUGUGUUCCGCCGCUGUUGGGGGGUUGCCCGAGUAGCACGGGGCCCGAGGAAUCCCGUGUGAAUCUGCCAGGACCACCUGGUAAGCCUGAAUACUACCUGUUGACCGAUAGCGGAUCAGUACCGUGAGGGAAUGGUGAAAAGUACCCCGGGAGGGGAGUGAAAUAGUACCUGAAACCAUGUGCCUACAAACCGUUGGAGCCUCCUUGUGGGGUGACAGCGUGCCUUUUGAAGAAUGAGCCUGCGAGUUAGUGAUACGUGGCGAGGUUAACCCGUGUGGGGAAGCCGUAGCGAAAGCGAGUCUGAAUAGGGCGAUUGAGUCGCGUGUCCUAGACCCGAAGCGGAGUGAUCUACCCAUGGCCAGGUUGAAGCGCGUGUAAGAGCGCGUGGAGGACCGAACCCACUUCAGUUGAAAAUGGAGGGGAUGAGCUGUGGGUAGGGGUGAAAGGCCAAUCAAACUCCGUGAUAGCUGGUUCUCCCCGAAAUGCAUUUAGGUGCAGCGUCACGUGUUUCUUCCCGGAGGUAGAGCUACUGGAUGGACGAUGGGCCCUACAAGGUUACUGACUUCAGCCAAACUCCGAAUGCCGGGAAGUGAGAGCGUGGCAGUGAGACUGUGGGGGAUAAGCUUCAUAGUCGAGAGGGAAACAGCCCAGACCACCGGUUAAGGCCCCUAAGCGUGUGCUAAGUGGGAAAGGAUGUGGAGUUGCUGAGACAACCAGGAGGUUGGCUUAGAAGCAGCCACCCUUGAAAGAGUGCGUAAUAGCUCACUGGUCAAGUGAUUCCGCGCCGACAAUGUAGCGGGGCUCAAGUACACCGCCGAAACCGUGGCAUUCAGUUUUGCUGGAUGGGUAGGGGAGCGUCGUUCACGAGGUGAAGCCAGCGGGUAACUUCUGGUGGAUUGUGGACGAGUGAGAAUGCAGGCAUGAGUAGCGAAAGACGGGUGAGAAACCCGUCCGCCGGAUGACUAAGGGUUCCAGGGUCAAGCUAAUCUGCCCUGGGUAAGUCGGGACCUAAGGCGAGGCCGACAGGCGUAGUCGAUGGACAACGGGUUGAUAUUCCCGUACCAGUGAAGAACCGCCCAUGCUGAGCCGGUGAUACUAACCGCCCGAACCAUCCCGAACCCCGUCUUUGACGGGGGCGGUGGUGGGGAGCGCGGGACCUGAACCGGGGAGGCAAGCGCAUUAACAGGUGUGACGCAGGAAGGUAGCCGGGCCGGGCAAUGGAAAUGACCUGGUCUAAGGGUGUAGGGCUGCCGGUAGGUAAAUCCGCCGGCUGUAUGCCUGAGACCUGAUGGGCGCCCACGUGGUGGGUGAUCCGGUGAUCCUAUGCUGCCUAGAAAAGCAUCGGCGCGAGGUUCAAACUGCCCGUACCCUAAACCGACACAGGUGGUCAGGUAGAGAAUACUAAGGCGAUCGAGAGAAUCAUGGUUAAGGAACUCGGCAAAAUGCCCCCGUAACUUCGGGAGAAGGGGGGCCCCAACCUUGAGCACCACGUGCUGGUGUGAGGGGAUCGGGGCCGCAGAGACCAGGGGGAAGCGACUGUUUAUCAAAAACACAGGUCCAUGCGAAGUCGUAAGACGAUGUAUAUGGACUGACUCCUGCCCGGUGCUGGAAGGUUAAGGGGACCUGUUAGCUUCGGCGAAGCGGAGAACUUAAGCCCCAGUAAACGGCGGUGGUAACUAUAACCAUCCUAAGGUAGCGAAAUUCCUUGUCGGGUAAGUUCCGACCUGCACGAAUGGAGUAACGACUUCCCCGCUGUCUCAACCAUGAACUCGGCGAAAUUGCAUUACGAGUAAAGAUGCUCGUUACGCGCAGAAGGACGGAAAGACCCCGUGACCUUUACUAUAGUUUGGUAUUGGUAUUCGGUGUGACUUGUGUAGGAUAGGUGGGAGACUGUGAAGCGGGCACGCCAGUGUUCGUGGAGUCGCNNNNNNNNNNCGAAAUUGCAUUACGAGUAAAGAUGCUCGUUACGCGCAGAAGGACGGAAAGACCCCGUGACCUUUACUAUAGUUUGGUAUUGGUGUUCGGUGUGACUUGUGUAGGAUAGGUGGGAGACUGUGAAGCGGGCACGCCAGUGUUCGUGGAGUCAUCGUUGAAAUACCACUCUGGUCACUCUGGAUAUCUAACUUCGGCCCGUGAUCCGGGUCAGGGACAGUGCCUGAUGGGUAGUUUAACUGGGGCGGUUGCCUCCUAAAAUGUAACGGAGGCGCCCAAAGGUUCCCUCAGCCUGGUUGGCAAUCAGGUGUCGAGUGCAAGUGCACAAGGGAGCUUGACUGUGAGAGUGGCAGCUCGAGCAGGGACGAAAGUCGGGACUAGUGAUCCGGCGGCUCGUUGUGGAACGGCCGUCGCUCAACGGAUAAAAGGUACCUCGGGGAUAACAGGCUGAUCUUGCCCAAGAGUCCAUAUCGACGGCAUGGUUUGGCACCUCGAUGUCGGCUCGUCGCAUCCUGGGGCUGGAGUAGGUCCCAAGGGUUGGGCUGUUCGCCCAUUAAAGCGGUACGCGAGCUGGGUUCAGAACGUCGUGAGACAGUUCGGUCCCUAUCCUCUGCGCGCGUUGGAAAUUUGAGAAGGUCUGUCCUUAGUACGAGAGGACCGGGACGGACGAACCUCUGGUAUGUCAGUUGUACCGCCAGGUGCAUGGCUGAUUAGCUACGUUCGGGAUGGAUAACCGCUGAAAGCAUCUAAGCGGGAAGCCGCCUUCGAGAUGAGAUUUCCUUGCCCCUUUGAGGGUGUGAGGCCCCCAGCUAGAACACUGGGUUGAUAGGCUGGAUGUGGAAGCGAGGACUGAAGACUCGUGAAGCUGACCAGUACUAAUAGGCCGAUGACUUACAC
rnacentral:rRNA from 1 species